rnacentral:rRNA from 1 species
AUUAGAGUUUGAUCAUGGCUCAGAACGAACGUUAGCGGUGUGGAUUAGGCAUGCAAGUCGCGCGAGAAAGCCUUCGGGUGAGUAUAGCGGCGAACGGGUGAGUAACACGUAACCAACGUGCCCCUUAGAUCGGGAUAGCUACUGGAAACGGUGGGUAAUACCGAAUGGUCCCCUGGAUGGCAUCAUCCGGCGGGUAAACGGCGGCUUCGGCUGUUGCUAGGGGAGCGGGUUGCGGCCUAUCAGCUUGUUGGUGGGGUAAUGGCCUACCAAGGCAACGACGGGUAGCGGGUCUGAGAGGAUGAUCCGUCACACUGGGACUGAGACACUGCCCAGACUCCUACGGGAGGCUGCAGUCGAGAAUCUUCCGCAAUGGGCGAAAGCCUGACGGAGCGACACCGCGUGUAGGAUGAAGGCUCUCGGGUUGUAAACUACUGUCACGCCAUAGGAAUGGCCUGUCGUUAAUAGCGGCACGGUUGACCAAAGCGAGAGGAAGUGCCGGCUAACUCCGUGCCAGCAGCCGCGGUAAGACGGAGGGCACAAACGUUGUUCGGAAUCACUGGGCAUAAAGCGCACGCAGGCGGCUUGUUAAGUCAGAUGUGAAAGCCCUCGGCUCAACCGAGGAACUGCAUCUGAAACUGCCAAGCUCGAGGAAGACAGGGGUGAGUGGAACUCCAGGUGGAACGGUGAAAUGUGUAGAUAUCUGGAGGAACACCGGUGGCGAAAGCGGCUCACUGGGUCGUCUCUGACGCUGAGGUGCGAAAGCUAGGGUAGCAAACGGGAUUAGAUACCCCGGUAGUCCUAGCCGUAAACGAUGGGCACUAGGUAGUGGGCUUUCCGUGGUUCACUGCCGUAGCAAAUGUGUUAAGUGCCCCGCCUGGGGAGUACGCUCGCAAGGGUAAAACUCAAAGGAAUUGACGGGGGAUCACACAAGCGGUGGAGCAUGUGGUUUAAUUCGAAACAACGCGAAGAACCUUACCUGGUCUUGACCAUGCUUGGAUGCCCAUCUGGAAACAGAGUAGGCUGCCCUUCGGGGUGAAACUUGCACAGGUGCUGCAUGGCUGUCGUCAGCUCGUGUCGUGAGAUGUUGGGUUAAGUCCCGUAACGAGCGAAACCCUUGUCGCUAGUUGCCAGCGCGUAAUGGCGGGGACUCUAACGAGACUGCCGGUGUGAAACCGGAGGAAGGUGGGGAUGACGUCAAGUCCGCAUGGCCUUUAUGCCCAGGGCUGCAAACGUGCUACAAUGGCGUAUACAAACCGACGCAAGACCGCGAGGUGGAGCAAAUCGGAAAAAGUCGGCCCCAGUUCGGAUUGGAGUCUGCAACUCGACUCCAUGAAGUCGGAAUCGCUAGUAAUCGCAGAUCAGCCACGCUGCGGUGAAUGUGUUCCUGAGCCUUGUAGACACCGCCCGU